GGGGCGGUGGCCUAGUCCGGCAUGGCGACGGGCUCCAGAUCCAGGCUCGUUUCGAGCCAGAACAGCGGGGUCAUGAAUCUGACCGUCGCCGAAGACACUCGUCGAUCGUGGGUUCAAAUCCCACUCGCCCCA
rnacentral:tRNA from 1 species